GACAGAGGCCACGAACGUUGUUCGGAAUCACUGGGCCUAAAGCGCACGUAGGCGGCUAGGUCCGUCGGAUGUGAAAGCCCCCGGCUCAACCGGGGAAUAGCAUCCGAUACAGCCUGGCUUGAGGACGGUUGGGGUGAGUGGAACUCCUGGUGGAGCGGUGAAAUGCGUAGAUAUCAGGAGGAACACCGGUGGCGAAAGCGGCUCACUGGACCGUUACUGACGCUGAGGUGCGAAAGCUAGGGGAGCAAACGGG
rnacentral:rRNA from 1 species